ACAGGGAUUGCCCUAGUAACGGCGAGUGAAGCGGCAACAGCUCAAAUUUGAAAUCUGGCUCUUUCAGAGUCCGAGUUGUAAUUUGUAGAGGGCGCUUUGGCUUUGGCAGCGGUCCAAGUUCCUUGGAACAGGACGUCACAGAGGGUGAGAAUCCCGUACGUGGUCGCUAGCUAUUGCCGUGUAAAGCCCCUUCGACGAGUCGAGUUGUUUGGGAAUGCAGCUCUAAAUGGGAGGUAAAUUUCUUCUAAAGCUAAAUAUUGGCCAGAGACCGAUAGCGCACAAGUAGAGUGAUCGAAAGAUGAAAAGCACUUUGGAAAGAGAGUCAAACAGCACGUGAAAUUGUUGAAAGGGAAGCGCUUGCAGCCAGACUUGCUUGCAGUUGCUCAUCCGGGCUCUUGCCCGGUGCACUCUUCUGCAGGCAGGCCAGCAUCAGUUUGGGCGGUGGGAUAAAGGUCUCUGUCAUGUACCUCUCUUCGGGGAGGCCUUAUAGGGGAGGCGACAUACCACCAGCCUAGACUGAGGUCCGCGCAUCUGCUAGGAUGCUGGCGUAAUGGCUGUAAGCGGCCCGUCUUGAAACACGGACCAAGGAGUCUAACAUCUAUGCGAGUGUUUGGGUGUCAAGCCCGAGCGCGUAAUGAAAGUGAACGGAGGUGGGAACCCGCAAGGGCGCACCAUCGACCGAUCCUGAAGUUUACGGAAGGAUUUGAGUAAGAGCAUGGCUGUUGGGACCCGAAAGAUGGUGAACUAUGCUUGAAUAGGGUGAAGCCAGAGGAAACUCUGGUGGAGGCUCGCAGCGGUUCUGACGUGCAAAUCGAUCGUCAAAUUUGGGCAUAGGGGCGAAAGACUAAUCGAACUAUCUAGUAGCUGGUUCCUGC
rnacentral:rRNA from 1 species